AAGAGUCUGGCAUGUAAAUAUGGAAGAUGACUAAGACUGACCCACACAAUUUUGGGUGGAAAGAAGCCAAUAGCGAAUGAGCCUGAAGCCAAAAAGGCAAAGAGGUGAUGGUCUUGGAACAGUCAUCAAUAUUGCUGCAAAGAAUACUAAGUCAGCGCAGUUAUCUCUGCUGGGAGAGGGGAGAAGAAUGAUCUAACACAACAGCUGACUCGACAAGCUGGCGCUUUGAUCCUAAUAAGAAUCUCAUGAGAGACACAGACACGCAACCUAUCAGAUUCUCCUCUGUAUCUCGACUCUGCUCCUGGUUCUGCUUCCUGGCACAUAGAAGAUUGUACACUCAUCCAGAUGGAUCCAUGAAGCAAGCAUCAGACAAAAGCAUUACUUCCAGGAUUUGCCACUUGAGAUUCUCCAGAAUUACUUUUCUGGAGAUGCAUCAUAUGAGAGACAGCAAGUUUCAGUGGGCGGAGUCAAUGUCAGCUUGGGCACCUGAGUAACUAUCACCCAGAGUAAAGUCCCUAGUAUUGAUCCAACUUGGACAUCACAAUGAAAGAAAAAUCAGGCAAUGGAAACCAAAAAAAAAGGAAGAAAGGAGACAUCGUAGACUUGGCAUCCCGAGACUCAGUUACAGCAGUGUGACCGUGAGUCACUUCUCUCUGGGGUUCCUGGUCUGUCCCCAAGCAGCUCCUCUGUUUUUCUCU
rnacentral:lncRNA from 1 species